rnacentral:rRNA from 1 species
CCUACGGGAGGCAGCAGUGAGGAAUAUUGGUCAAUGGACGAGAGUCUGAACCAGCCAAGUAGCGUGAAGUAUGACUGCCCUAUGGGUUGUAAACUUCUUUUAUAUGGGAAUAAAAUGUUCCACGUGUGGGCUUUUGUAUGUACCAUAUGAAUAUGGAUCGGCUAACUCCGUGCCAGCAGCCGCGGUAAUACGGAGGAUCCGAGCGUUAUCCGGAUUUAUUGGUUUUAAAGGGAGCGUAGGUGGGUUGUUAAGUCAGUUGUGAAAGUUUGCGGGUCAACCGUAACAUUGCAGUUGAAACUGGCAGUCUUGAGUACAGUAGAGGUGGGCGGAAUUCGUGGUGUAGCGGUGAAAUGCUUAGAUAUCACGAAGAACUCCGAGUGCGAAGGCAGCUCACUGGACUGCAACUGACACUGAGGCUCGAAAGUGUGGGUAUCAAACAGGAUUAGAUACCCUAGUAGUC